AUGCAGUCGACGAUGAAGGGGGAGCUUGCUCCUCUGGAUUAGUGGCGAACGGGUGAGUAACACGUGAGCAAUCUGCCCCUGACUCUGGGAUAAGCGCUGGAAACGGCGUCUAAUACCGGAUACGAGCCGAGCAGGCAUCUGCAUCGGUUGGAAAGAACUUCGGUCAGGGAUGAGCUCGCGGCCUAUCAGCUUGUUGGUGAGGUAAUGGCUCACCAAGGCGACGACGGGUAGCCGGCCUGAGAGGGUGACCGGCCACACUGGGACUGAGACACGGCCCAGACUCCUACGGGAGGCAGCAGUGGGGAAUAUUGCACAAUGGGCGCAAGCCUGAUGCAGCAACGCCGCGUGAGGGACGAAGGCCUUCGGGUUGUAAACCUCUUUUAGCAGGGAAGAAGCGAGAGUGACGGUACCUGCAGAAAAAGCACCGGCUAACUACGUGCCAGCAGCCGCGGUAAUACGUAGGGUGCGAGCGUUAUCCGGAAUUAUUGGGCGUAAAGAGCUCGUAGGCGGUCUGUCGCGUCUGCUGUGAAAACCCGAGGCUCAACCUCGGGCUUGCAGUGGGUACGGGCAGACUAGAGUGCGGUAGGGGAGAUUGGAAUUCCUGGUGUAGCGGUGGAAUGCGCAGAUAUCAGGAGGAACACCGAUGGCGAAGGCAGAUCUCUGGGCCGUUACUGACGCUGAGGAGCGAAAGCGUGGGGAGCAAACAGGCUUAGAUACCCUGGUAGUCCACGCCGUAAACGUUGGGAACUAGAUGUGGGGACCAUUCCACGGUCUCCGUGUCGUAGCUAACGCAUUAAGUUCCCCGCCUGGG
rnacentral:rRNA from 1 species